CCCCCGCCACUACCUUAACCAUACAUAAUGGGCCUAUCAAUUGCAGAUUUCUUUAUACCCAUACUCGUUCACUUGGCAUAACUUGCUGUUUGUGCGUGGAUGUGUACAUCCAUUUAUGUAGAUGUACAAACUGUAAUAGCCAUGGUAUGUAUGCAGAUGAAAGACAUUAUCUUUCAAUUGGAGCAAAUAUGGUAGCUGCUUCAGGUGUUGGAGCUGCAGCUGUCGUUGCUACAAAUCCGCUUUGGGUUGUGAAGACUAGAUAGCAAGUUGCGCUACCGUAAUCACAUUCACCAGUUUUGAAAUGAUACACCAUUUUCCUAUUUCACUUUUUCCUUCUGACCCACAGCCACAUAUUUGGAUGGAUAGAGCAUGGUGGUUGUCUAUGAUAUGUAGCAGUUGAAUGGUUCCAAAACAUAUGUUAGUAUAGCCGACUAAUGUUUCUUUUGAUUAAAAUCCCAUUCUUUGUCAUUCUUAAUUGUUUGUUUAUGUAAGGUAGAUUUCCACAUCAUUUGAAAUUGAACCUACAUUACAUUGAGUCGUUUUCCCUAGUCAAAUUUCUGCAAAUUGACUGGCUUUGUAGGUGUGGACUGAAGACUUAUCUAUAACAAUAAUAAAGACAAUAUCCAUUUUAGUUUCUAUUUUUUUAUCCUCUAA